CCUACGGGUGGCAGCAGUGAGGAAUAUUGGUCAAUGGACGAGCGUCUGAACCAGCCAAGUAGCGUGAAGGAUGACUGCCCUAUGGGUUGUACACUUCUUUUAUGUUGGAAUAAAAUGUUCCACGUGUGGGAUUUUGUAUGUACCAUAUGACUAAGGAUCGGUUAACUCCGUGCUAGCAUCCGCGGUAAUACUGAGGAUCCGAUCGUUAUCCGGAUUUAUUGGGUUUAAGGGGAGCGUCGGUGGAUUGUUCAGGUAGUUGUGAAAGUUUGCGGCUCAACCGUAAAAUUGCAGUUGAAACUGGCAGUCUUGAGUACAGUAGAGGUGGGCGGAAUUCGUGGUGUAGCGGUGAAAUGCUUAGAUAUCACGAAGAACUCCGAUUGCGAAGGCAGCUCACUGGACUGCAACUGACACUGAGGCUCGAAAGUGUGGGUAUCAAACAGGAUUAGAUACCCGAGUAGUC
rnacentral:rRNA from 1 species